GACGUAGGGGGCCAGCGUUGUUCGGAAUUACUGGGUGUAAAGGGUUCGUAGGCGGUGCGGCAAGUUGGGAGUGAAAUCUCUGGGCUUAACCCAGAGGCUGCUUCCAAAACUGCUGUGCUUGAGUGUGGGAGAGGCGCGUGGAAUUGCAGGUGUAGCGGUGAAAUGCGUAGAUAUCUGCAGGAACACCCGUGGCGAAAGCGGCGCGCUGGACCACUACUGACGCUGAGGAACGAAAGCUAGGGGAGCAAACAGG
rnacentral:rRNA from 1 species